CGCGCAUUCUUCUCAUCGUACAGUCCAAACAUAGGAGUCUGCAGACCGCCGUGGAGAAGUCAGCCUUAAAGGCUUGGCCUAGCGAGAUGAAUGCCUAAAGAAGGGAAAGAUAAUGGAUAAAGACACUGCGAUUAAGAUUAUAGUGGGUCACUAACAUUAAGAAACCCUGAACUCAAGAGGACUUUCAAACUGGAUUAGAUUUUAUCUUUUUCUUUAGAAAAACUAACUGCCAUACCAGAGUUAAGGAGUUUCCUAACGUUGCUCUUCAAGCAGACGGCUUCGUCCGAGCAACUCACCCUACAAACAAACACCCUCCCCCCAUGCUGAACUGGGAUCUAAACCGCAUCCUCCUGCGCAUGCGCAGUCUGUGCUAUAAAACCAACCACUUGCAGUUGAAGAGCUAUGCAACGCAGAGUGGAGAAACGGCAAGACAAAGCAGAAAACUGCGAUGUGACGCGCCGAUCACCGAAUUUGCACAGUUGAAAGGAAAACGAAACUAUAGAUAGUUAAAUCGAGCUGUUAAAUUGCACAGGAUUGCCUACGCCAGUCAAAUCAUCGUCAGGUUUUAACUUUCGGGACACUGAGAUUAUAGAUGGAUAUUAAUACGGCUACAUUCAACCAGUUUUGGAGCUAGGGUAUUAUUUCAGUGUCGAUAUCGUUCAUUUUGUUAUGCUUUCAAAAUGGCGAUUUUCUCCGCUCUUCCCCCUCCCUGGCCUUCCUGAAUAGAUGAAUGACAUUGCCCUUGACCAAUAAUACGCUCAUUGUUCUGUUUUCUCGGCGUUGAUUGGCUACCGAUGACAUCAUCUGAAUUCCAUAUGUGGGAGGGCACUGAGCUACGAGGGGAGAGCGGCGCACCCGGAGAUCCGACCGUGUUUGUGGACGACAGUAGGGUGCCAUUAACUCCAAAUCUCAUUAACCAUUUGAUUUACUUAAAUCUCAACGGAUCUCUGAAACACGGCGUUUUAGAAGAGCCCUUCCACGGAGUUGGCAAUACACAUUAUUCGUUCGUUUCGAUCACAAAAAUCGCAAGAAGAUGGCGUCCUCGCUCGCUCGCUCGCAGCACUGCACAAAGCCCACACUGGGCGGGGUCACGGUCUUUCCAGAAAAUAUCAUUGCCGAAAACUGGAUUGAGCUCCUUAAGAUUACGUCAUCAGCCGUGUGUUUUAAAAUACUCUGGCGAAUAAAAACCUUAAUAGGCUUUUGUCGCAGCAAACGCCGGAAUAUUGGAAAGUAGUUUAUUUGGGCGUUCGUCGGUUCGUUUUAAAGAACCGAUUAUAAGCGAUUCAUUGAUUCUUUUUCUUCUGCGUCAUGACGUAUUUACGUUGUCCCUGACAGCUUGAUGUGACAAAUUACUUUUUAAAAUCUAAAUUAAAACAUCUCAAAGGCAUAUGUAUAUAUCGCUGUUUACUACGGGAUUUACCUAUUAAAAGUAACUUAAAAAAAAAAAACAAUUUUGUGUGCUGUAAUGUCCUGUAUCGUGAUUGUUGUCAUAUCAUCCAGUUGCAAUCAUUCGUUCGCCAUUCGGACAUUACUGUUGGCUGUCAGUGCAUUUUAAAUCCUCAUAUCCCUUAUGUUUUUGGAAAUUUGCGAGAAGGGUAAGCGCACCUGCUGCUAUCUUUAUAAGAAGUCAGAACAUCGUCGGUUACGUCACAAUAACAGCCGCAUAUGAGCUGCAACAAAAGAACUCAGCUGAAGGAGCGCGUUUCCUGUUUUGGCGCUGCUCAGGAAACGAAUCGCGUGCAGAAAACAUGCCGGUCGAGGUUUCACAUCGUUGGUGUGGGACGCCAUAGAGUGUCUGCAUAAGUAAUCUGUUUCUUGCGUUCGUUAAGAUUGAUGUUUUAGUAACGCCGUGGCUUUGAGCUGCUCGCUUUUUUUUUUAUUGAUUGCGUUUCCACAGCCGCCAUGUUGUCGAUCCCACGCCUCCUCUGCGCUGCUCUGGGGAUGAUGAUUAGUAAAUGGCGUAUUGGAGCAUUUUCUUUACUGCUUAGUGAGUAGUAGUUUUUGUAUAUUGGCUCCCUCAAGAAAGUUUAGCUCAAAUCGCCUGAUAUAAAAUGAGUUUCACUGCAAUUUCGUUACUUGUAUUAUUUUAACCUACUAUUAUUCUUGUCCAUUACAUGAUCUGGACACAAGAGGGAUGAAAGUGGCACAGGGUGUCCUAAAGACAAAUAAUUGUGUUAUGAUACUACAAACACUAUACAUUGAAUACUAUGUCUUAGAAACUGUCAAACUACUUAGUCCAGGACAGGUGCAUAAUGGCCAACUUAGCAAAACAUCUCACAGCUUUAAAAUUAAAUAUAAUUAUGAUGGUUUGUAGUGUUUUUCAAUCAAGGGUCUUGGUCCCACAAGGGGGGCACAUCAAGCUUCCAAGAUGCCUUAAAUAGUUUUAAAUUUAUAUUGAUAAAACCAAACUUAACCCUAUAAAGCCAUUCUGUAUCAUAUUUGAUACAUGCCUUUAAAUGAUAGACAUGAUCAAAACUUUGGCUAAAAAUCUUUUUGUACACAAUCUUCUACAUGCCAUCUGCUGUCUAAAUUGAUAGCUUAUACUUUUUUAGCAAGUAAAAAGCCUUUUAGUAUAAAUGUUCAUCUUCAGGUUGUGGUACAUGUCUUUUUGCUGUAAAAUCUUUGAUUUUCCUAAAGUAAACAAAUUGCUUUUAUUAGUAAUAUUUUAAGAUGAGCAUUUACUGGAUUGAAGCAACUUAUUUAAGUAAUUAGUUAUCCAUAGGCUACUUUUUUUUUUUUUAUAAAUCAUGUUGUUGGUAAUGGUU